rnacentral:rRNA from 1 species
ACAAACGCUGGCGGCGUGCUAAUACAUGCAAGUCGAACGAGGAAAGUAGCAAUACGAGUACUAGUGGCGCACGGGUGAGUAACACGUGGGUAAUCUGCCUUAGAGUGGGGGAUAACCAGUCGAAAGACCGGCUAAUACCGCAUAAGACCACAAGAUCUGCGGAUCUAGGGGUCAAAGGUUUUUCGCUCUAAGAUGAGCCCGCGCAGGAUUAGCUAGUUGGUAGGGUAAUGGCCUACCAAGGCAACGAUCCUUAGCUGGUCUGAGAGGAUGAUCAGCCACACUGGAACUGAGACACGGUCCAGACUCCUACGGGAGGCAGCAGUAGGGAAUUUUGCGCAAUGGAGGAAACUCUGACGCAGCGACGCCGCGUGAGUGACGAAGGACUUCGGUUCGUAAAGCUCUGUUGCAAGGGAAAAAGAAAGUGAUUGUACCUUGUGAGGAAGGGUCGGCUAACUUCGUGCCAGCAGCCGCGGUAAGACGAGGGACCCUAGCGUUGUUCGGAAUCAUUGGGCGUAAAGCGGAUGUAGGUGGCUUUGUAAGUCAGGUGUGAAAGCCCAGGGCUCAACCCUGGAAGUGCAUUUGAUACUGCGAAGCUUGAGUGGUGGAUAGGUAAACAGAACUCCUGGUGUAGUGGUGAAAUACGUAGACAUCAGGAGGAAUACCGGAGGCGAAGGCGGUUUACUGGCCACACACUGACACUCAGAUCCGAAAGCAUGGGGAUCAAACAGGAUUAGAUACCCUGGUAGUCCAUGCCGUAAACGAUGUCAACUAGCCGUUGGGCUCCUUGAGG